rnacentral:rRNA from 1 species
UCAGAUUGAACGCUGGCGGCAGGCCUAACACAUGCAAGUCGAGCGGAAACGAGUUAUCUGAACCUUCGGGGAACGAUAACGGCGUCGAGCGGCGGACGGGUGAGUAAUGCCUAGGAAAUUGCCCUGAUGUGGGGGAUAACCAUUGGAAACGAUGGCUAAUACCGCAUGAUGCCUACGGGCCAAAGAGGGGGACCUUCGGGCCUCUCGCGUCAGGAUAUGCCUAGGUGGGAUUAGCUAGUUGGUGAGGUAAGGGCUCACCAAGGCGACGAUCCCUAGCUGGUCUGAGAGGAUGAUCAGCCACACUGGAACUGAGACACGGUCCAGACUCCUACGGGAGGCAGCAGUGGGGAAUAUUGCACAAUGGGCGCAAGCCUGAUGCAGCCAUGCCGCGUGUGUGAAGAAGGCCUUCGGGUUGUAAAGCACUUUCAGUCGUGAGGAAGGUGGUGUAGUUAAUAGCUGCAUUAUUUGACGUUAGCGACAGAAGAAGCACCGGCUAACUCCGUGCCAGCAGCCGCGGUAAUACGGAGGGUGCGAGCGUUAAUCGGAAUUACUGGGCGUAAAGCGCAUGCAGGUGGUUUGUUAAGUCAGAUGUGAAAGCCCGGGGCUCAACCUCGGAAUAGCAUUUGAAACUGGCAGACUAGAGUACUGUAGAGGGGGGUAGAAUUUCAGGUGUAGCGGUGAAAUGCGUAGAGAUCUGAAGGAAUACCGGUGGCGAAGGCGGCCCCCUGGACAGAUACUGACACUCAGAUGCGAAAGCGUGGGGAGCAAACAGGAUUAGAUACCCUGGUAGUCCACGCCGUAAACGAUGUCUACUUGGAGGUUGUGGCCUUGAGCCGUGGCUUUCGGAGCUAACGCGUUAAGUAGACCGCCUGGGGAGUACGGUCGCAAGAUUAAAACUCAAAUGAAUUGACGGGGGCCCGCACAAGCGGUGGAGCAUGUGGUUUAAUUCGAUGCAACGCGAAGAACCUUACCUACUCUUGACAUCCAGAGAACUUUCCAGAGAUGGAUUGGUGCCUUCGGGAA